rnacentral:pre_miRNA from 9 species
GAUACCUAGCGUAAAAGAUUACUCAAAUUUGUAUGGAGUUGGAACGUUUGCCUUCGUUUGCCGGUAGGGGCGCUGUUCCAACUGCAUACAAAUUUGAGUUAACUUUUACGCUAUCGA